rnacentral:rRNA from 1 species
AACGAACGCUAUCGGUAUGCUUAACACAUGCAAGUCGGACGGACUAAUUAGGGCUUGCUCCAAUUAGUUAGUGGCAGACGGGUGAGUAACACGUGGGAAUCUGCCCAUCAGUACGGAAUAACUUUUAGAAAUAAAAGCUAAUACCGUAUAUUCUCUACAGAGGAAAGAUUUAUCGCUGAUGGAUGAGCCCGCGUCAGAUUAGGUAGUUGGUGAGGUAACGGCUCACCAAGCCGACGAUCUGUAGCUGGUCUGAGAGGAUGAUCAGCCACACUGGGACUGAGACACGGCCCAGACUCCUACGGGAGGCAGCAGUGGGGAAUAUUGGAAAAUGGGCGAAAGCCUGAUCCAGCAAUACCGAGUGAGUGAUAAGGGCCCUAGGGUUGUAAAGCUCUUUUAGCAAGGAAGAUAAUGACGUUACUUGCAGAAAAAGCCCCGGCUAACUCCGUG